UAGAGUGUACUAUGGUAUUUAUACGUACACAGAUAAAUCCGCAAGCGCACGGAUACCGCUGUAACUUUUACCCGGUUAAAGGUUUUAUCAUAUCCACAGGGAAACGGGAGAACCAACUACGCUCUAACUUAACCAAGAUAGAUAGAUAGGUGUAAAUAGGGAAGAUAGUAGAAUUGAAUAAGAACAAUAUUAAAGGUAAGAUAACAAUGGGUGAUAAUAUGGGAAUAGAGAGUAGAGCAAUCUAGUAUAUGGGCGAUGGUAGGAGAAUAGAGAGGAUAACUAUGGUUUCUCUACUUCAAAGGGGUAUGUCUAUGUCUGGGACGAACCACUUGAUAAGAAUACACCACAAAGGAUGCUUAUCCAUAGGCCGAUAAACCCUACCAGUCCUGCUAACAGGAGGUGGACUAUAGAGGACCAACGUAACUGUCACCUACGCGGUCUACCACACGAUCCGGCUAGACAGGGGAUAUCCACAAGUAAUCUAGGUCUAAGCACCACGCUUACACCUAUACUACAACUCUCACCUAUAGCGUCCUAUAGAUUAAAGUACUCAAAAGAGUUGUGAACCAGAACAUACAUGGAUAGUAAUUGCAUAAUGAAAUAGAAGUAGAUUACCAGAGCCAUCCCAUGAGCAAGCUUGAUUAGAACUUGAUCAUGGCGAAGUACAACCGAAUGAAGAACCGACAGGCCGGCCUCUCCUCCAAUCCUCCCUCGCUCUCCAUC
rnacentral:lncRNA from 1 species